AUGGCUUCUCAGCCUAGCGUGGAGGAGACGCUGUCGAUACGGCAUGGAUUCAGGUGUGUUCCUGAGAAUGGAGUUAAGGUGGAGGUUCUGCUCGCGGUCGGUGAACAGGUAGGAGCUGAAUUUAUACAUUCUGCUUCUAGAAUGAAAAAAGCUGUGGUUGUGUUCAUGAAAAGAGCUAAUUUGGUUGGUAGACUAAUUGCUAGCGGAAUUUUUGUAAGGGAUGUGUUGGUGACAGUUUCGCCCCUCUCUACCCCUUCGACAAGAGUGGUUGUUGCAAAUUUGCCUCCGUUUGUUACGGACGAUCAAAUCAGGAAAGAGCUGUGUCGUUUUGGUAAGUUUGCUAGCGGUUUUCCUGCACUGUCGGCAGGUUUUCAGGCAGAUGCCGUUAAGCACGUUGUUUCGUUCCGAAGGCAAGUGUUCAUGUUCCUGAAUAACAAUGAGCAACAGCUAAAUGUGCAGUUUAAAGUGAGGCAUGGGGAGGGGCUCUAUGCAGGGUUUGCCAGUACAGACAGUCUACGGUGUUUUGAGUGUGGGGAUUUGGGGCAUAAGAGCUUUGCGUGCCCACAUAAAGGCCGUAGACAAGGUGAGGGUAAAAGUGCCAGUGGGGGAAAUCGAGGUCAAAGUGCAGGGGGCAAUGAGAUGCAGACAGCAGAGGCUGGGCCUAGUCAUGCCAGGGAUGGUGGUGUAGAUGAGGCUGGGCCUAGUCAUGCCAGGGAUGGUGGUGUAGAUGAGGCUGGGCCUAGUCAUGCCAGGGAUGGUGGUGUAGAUGAGGCUGGGCCUAGUCAUGCCAGGGAUGGUGGUGUAGAUGAGGCUGGGCCUAGUCAUGCCAGGGAUGGUGGUGUAGAUGAGGCUGGGCCUAGUCAUGCCAGGGAUGGUGGUGUAGAUGAGGCUGGGCCUAGUCAUGCCAGGGAUGGUGGUGUAGAUGAGGCUGGGCCUAGUCAUGCCAGGGAUGGUGGUGUAGAUGAGGCUGGGCCUAGUCAGGCUAGAGAUGGUGGUGUAGCUGAGGCUGGGUCUAAUCAGGCUAGAGAUGGUGGGGUAGCGGAGGCUGGGUCUAGUCAGGCUGGAGAUGGUGGGGUAGCGGAGGCUGGGUCUAGUCAGGCUGGAGAUGGUGGGGUAGCUGAGGCUGGGUCUAGUCAGGCUAGAGAUGGUGGGGUAGCUGAGGCUGGGUCUAGUCAGGCUAGAGAUGGUGGGGCAGCUGAGGCUGGGCCUAGUUAUGCUAUGGAGGGUGGGGUAGCUGAGGCUGGGCCUAGUCAUGCUAUGGAGGGGGGUGUAGAUGAUGCUGGGUCUAGUCAGGUUAUGCUAGUGGAUGAGGAGAGUAUAGUGGGGAAGUGUAAGAGACUAGGGGGGAUGAAGGUGUCAAGCGGAAAAGGAAAAAAGGUGUGGUCAAAGGCACCAUGGAAACUUUGCCUGUUGCUGGGGGGGAUGCCCUGA
rnacentral:lncRNA from 8 species